GCAUAUCAAUAAGCGGAGGAAAAGAAACUAACAAGGAUUCCCCUAGUAACGGCGAGUGAAGUGGGAAUAGCUCAAAUUUAAAAUCCUUCGUAAGUUGGAGUUGUAAUUUGAAGAAGCGUUUUCGUCGCCUACGAUUAGCCUAAGUCCUUUGGGAUAGGGCAUCAUGGAGGGUGAGAAUCCCGUAUGGCUUAUCAAGGCGGGUCCCGAUACGCUUUCAAAGAGUCGAGUUGUUUGGGAUUGCAGCUCAAAAUGGGAGGUAAAUUUCUCCUAAGGCUAAAUAUUGGCGAGAGACCGAUAGCGAACAAGUACCGUGAGGGAAAGAUGAAAAGAACUUUGAAAAGGGAGUCAAACAGUACGUGAAAUUGUUGAAAGGGAAACGAUUGAAGUCAGUCGUACAGACUUGAAAUCAGCUUCUCGAGCGUGGGUUCGUCUGCGUUCUUGGGGUGCAUUUUCUCGUAUUGUAGGUUAGCGUCGAUUUUGUUCGUUAUAAAAUGAUUGGAGGAAUGUAGCUUCAUUUUUGAAGUGUUAUAGACUCUGGUAAAUGUAACGAUCGGGAUCGAGGAUUGCAACGGAUACCCUUACGGGCUAUCUGCCUGGCCUCUGGUGUGCUACUCUGGUGUUGAAAGCUUUUGCUUAUGAUGUUGGAGUGUGUGCUCAAAAGGUUAGAGCGGAUUAAAUUCGUUAAGGACGCUGACGUAAUGGCUUUAAACGACCCGUCUUGAAACACGGACC
rnacentral:rRNA from 1 species